CCUCCAUGUAUGCCUACAUGGGCAAGUGCAACACACACACACACACACACACACACACACACACACACGAGUAAACUCACACCUGGGCUUUUCUCUUUACAGGUCCAUCGGCUGGUGGUAGUGAAUGAUGCAGAUAGUAUUGUGGGUAUUAUCUCCCUGUCAGACAUCCUGCAAGCCCUGAUCCUCACACCAGCAGCAGGUGCCAAACAGAAGGAGGCAGAGGCCGAAUGACCCCCGUGAAUGUAGACACCCUCACAGGAGAACUUGAACAAAGUCUCGGGGUCGCGGUUUGCCUCAUGAACACUGGCUGCGAUGGAAGAAAAUAAAGUGGCUGAGAAUGUAUAUCAGGGUUUGGCAAUGGGUAUUUUUCCAGUGAUUUGUAAGCAUAGGAAAAGAUUUUAUGUGCUUGAAGAUUCAGGCUUACCUUCAAAGACUGUCCUCAGACCCCCCCGUCCGAGGGGUUUCCAAUGCUGUAUGUCAUUAAAGUGCACUGUGUCUGAAAUUAGUACUACUUUUCAUUUCAAAGAAGUCACUGGGAUGGAACGGGUGACCGGAAGGGAGCGAACGGCACGUCCAGAUCACGGUGCCUUAUGUCCAAACACGCAAUAUGUCACCGCCGCCACACGCCCCAAAGUGCUGCUGAAGAGACGGCCAGCCCGAAUGUGAACAUCCUCAAACCUUUUACCCAGUCUCUUUCUUUUCAUUUGAUUUGUUGGAAAGUUGUAAUUUUAACGAAGGCAACGGAAAACUUGAGGAGAUGGUCCCCUAAGUGCUGUGUGCCCUGUUCUGGCUGCCGUGUUGACGAGGCUGGUUGGGCAACAACACUUUAUUUAUUUUCACUCUCAUGCAGUUUUUUACACAUCUGGUGAAUGGGUUCACCAAACCUAUGAAUAAAAUCUUGGUUGUUCUCUUAAA